UGCGUAGGCGGCUUUUUAAGUCGGAUGUGAAAUCCCCGAGCUUAACUUGGGAAUUGCAUUCGAUACUGGGAAGCUAGAGUAUGGGAGAGGAUGGUAGAAUUCCAGGUGUAGCGGUGAAAUGCGUAGAGAUCUGGAGGAAUACCGAUGGCGAAGGCAGCCAUCUGGACUGUAACUGACGCUGAGGCGCGAAAGCGUGGGGAGCAAACAGGAUUAGAUACCCCUGUA
rnacentral:rRNA from 1 species